UAAGGUAUAGCUCAGUGGUAGAGUGCCUGCUUAACAUGCUCAAGAUCCUGGGUUCAAUCCCCAGUACCUCCA
rnacentral:tRNA from 1 species